rnacentral:rRNA from 1 species
UACAGAGGUCUCAAGCGUUGUUCGGAUUCAUUGGGCGUAAAGGGUGCGUAGGUGGCGCUGUAAGUCGGGUGUGAAAUUUCGGAGCUUAACUCCGAAACUGCAUUCGAUACUGCGGUGCUUGAGGACUGGAGAGGAGACUGGAAUUCAUGGUGUAGCAGUGAAAUGCGUAGAGAUCAUGAGGAAGACCAGUGGCGAAGGCGGGUCUCUGGGCUGAAACUGACGCUCAUGCACGAAAGCGUGGGGAGCAAACAGG